ACAACAUGAAGGUGGGAACAAAUUGUAUUCCGUCAUCUAUUUUCCCGCAAUGAAGUUAUAAAUCAAUAUCAAGACCAAAAGUUGGAUGACAAAACACAGCCUUAAGAGAUACAUUGGCCCCUCAGCUACACAAAUCACUCAUAACUAAUCAUCUUGUGUGCCAGUAUUAGACAGCAGAUCAUUACAUGCCUAAGCAGGGUGUUUUGUUGUUCAAACCUGCAUGUGUGUUUCAAAAAGUUUUCGUCAGGGAAAAUGUUACUGCCCCUUUUUUUGGACAUCUGGUAGUGAUUAAAUGUGUGAGUAUAAAGCGGAGAUGAAGUGCACUUGGACUGCAGAAAGCAGCAGGAUGAAGGGUAGUGUGCAGCUAGGGCUGUUGUGUCUCAGCCUGCUCAUCUCCAGUCUUCAUGGGGAAGUAGAGACAGAUAACAGCAUGCAACUAUCUAUACAUUUUGAAGAGCCGGAUCUUGAUCAGCCUGAGAUGUACAGAGUACGACGACAGACGGUCUCCACAGAGAAGGAAGAUACAGCAAAGACAGAAGUUCUUGUGACAUCAAGUG